AGUGCCUACGGGGCGCAGCAGUAGGGAAUAUUGCUCAAUGGGGGAAACCCUGAAGCAGCAACGCCGCGUGAAGGAAGAAGGCUUUCGGGUUGUAAACUUCUUUUAAGAGGGAAGAGCAGAAGACGGUACCUCUUGAAUAAGCCACGGCUAACUACGUGCCAGCAGCCGCAGUAAUACGUAGGUGGCAAGCGUUGUCCGGAUUUACUGGGUGUAAAGGGCGUGCAGCCGGGAAGACAAGUCAGAUGUGAAAUCCCGCGGCUCAACCGCGGAACUGCAUUUGAAACUGUUUUUCUUGAGUACCGGAG
rnacentral:rRNA from 1 species